rnacentral:rRNA from 1 species
UGGGGAAUCUUGCGCAAUGGGCGAAAGCCUGACGCAGCGACGCCGCGUACGGGAAGAAGGCCUUCGGGUUGUAAACCGUUUUCAGGAGGGACGAAGCCACUCGGGUUAACAGCCCAGAGGGUGACGGUACCUCCAGAAGAAGCCCCGGCUAACUACGUG